rnacentral:tRNA from 1 species
CAGAAAAUAGUUUAAUUAAAAUAUUAAUUUUGGAGAUUAAAGAUAGAUAAUAUUUUUUUCUGA